rnacentral:rRNA from 1 species
GAUGAACGCUGGCGGCGUGCUUAACACAUGCAAGUCGAACGAAGCGCUUGAAACAGAUUCUUCGGAUGAAGUUUCCUGUGACUGAGUGGCGGACGGGUGAGUAACGCGUGGGUAACCUGCCUCAUACAGGGGGAUAACAGUUAGAAAUGGCUGCUAAUACCGCAUAAGCGCACGGCAUCGCAUGAUGCAGUGUGAAAAACUCCGGUGGUAUGAGAUGGACCCGCGUUGGAUUAGCUAGUUGGCAGGGUAACGGCCUACCAAGGCGACGAUUCAUAGCCGGCCUGAGAGGGUGGACGGCCACAUUGGGACUGAGACACGGCCCAGACUCCUACGGGAGGCAGCAGUGGGGAAUAUUGCACAAUGGGGGAAACCCUGAUGCAGCGACGCCGCGUGAGCGAAGAAGUAUUUCGGUAUGUAAAGCUCUAUCAGCAGGGAAGAGAAUGACGGUACCUGACUAAGAAGCCCCGGCUAACUACGUGCCAGCAGCCGCAGUAA